GGAGCGUUCUGUAAGCCUGCGAAGGUGUGCUGUGAGGCAUGCUGGAGGUAUCAGAAGUGCGAAUGCUGACAUAAGUAACGAUAAAGCGGGUGAAAAGCCCGCUCGCCGGAAGACCAAGGGUUCCUGUCCAACGUUAAUCGGGGCAGGGUGAGUCGACCCCUAAGGCGAGGCCGAAAGGCGUAGUCGAUGGGAAACAGGUUAAUAUUCCUGUACUUGGUGUUACUGCGAAGGGGGGACGGAGAAGGCUAUGUUGGCCGGGCGACGGUUGUCCCGGUUUAAGCGUGUAGGCUGGUUUUCCAGGCAAAUCCGGAAAAUCAAGGCUGAGGCGUGAUGACGAGGCACUACGGUGCUGAAGCAACAAAUGCCCUGCUUCCAGGAAAAGCCUCUAAGCAUCAGGUAACAUCAAAUCGUACCCCAAACCGACACAGGUGGUCAGGUAGAGAAUACCAAGGCGCUUGAGAGAACUCGGGUGAAGGAACUAGGCAAAAUGGUGCCGUAACUUCGGGAGAAGGCACGCUGAUAUGUAGGUGAAGUCCCUUGCGGAUGGAGCUGAAAUCAGUCGAAGAUACCAGCUGGCUGCAACUGUUUAUUAAAAACACAGCACUGUGCAAACACGAAAGUGGACGUAUACGGUGUGACGCCUGCCCGGUGCCGGAAGGUUAAUUGAUGGGGUCAGCGCAAGCGAAGCUCUUGAUCGAAGCCCCGGUAAACGGCGGCCGUAACUAUAACGGUCCUAAGGUAGCGAAAUUCCUUGUCGGGUAAGUUCCGACCUGCACGAAUGGCGUAAUGAUGGCCAGGCUGUCUCCACCCGAGACUCAGUGAAAUUGAACUCGCUGUGAAGAUGCAGUGUACCCGCGGCAAGACGGAAAGACCCCGUGAACCUUUACUAUAGCUUGACACUGAACAUUGAGCCUUGAUGUGUAGGAUAGGUGGGAGGCUUUGAAGUGUGGACGCCAGUCUGCAUGGAGCCGGCCUUGAAAUACCACCCUUUAAUGUUUGAUGUUCUAACGUGGACCCGUGAUCCGGGUUGCGGACAGUGUCUGGUGGGUAGUUUGACUGGGGCGGUCUCCUCCUAAAGAGUAACGGAGGAGCACGAAGGUUGGCUAAUCCUGGUCGGACAUCAGGAGGUUAGUGCAAUGGCAUAAGCCAGCUUGACUGCGAGCGUGACGGCGCGAGCAGGUGCGAAAGCAGGUCAUAGUGAUCCGGUGGUUCUGAAUGGAAGGGCCAUCGCUCAACGGAUAAAAGGUACUCCGGGGAUAACAGGCUGAUACCGCCCAAGAGUUCAUAUCGACGGCGGUGUUUGGCACCUCGAUGUCGGCUCAUCACAUCCUGGGGCUGAAGUAGGUCCCAAGGGUAUGGCUGUUCGCCAUUUAAAGUGGUACGCGAGCUGGGUUUAGAACGUCGUGAGACAGUUCGGUCCCUAUCUGCCGUGGGCGCUGGAGAACUGAGGGGGGCUGCUCCUAGUACGAGAGGACCGGAGUGGACGCAUCACUGGUGUUCGGGUUGUCAUGCCAAUGGCACUGCCCGGUAGCUAAAUGCGGAAGAGAUAAGUGCUGAAAGCAUCUAAGCACGAAACUUGCCCCGAGAUGAGUUCUCCCUGACCCUUUAAGGGUCCUGAAGGAACGUUGAAGACGACGACGUUGAUAGGCCGGGUGUGUAAGCGCAGCGAUGCGUUGAGCUAACCGGUACUAAUGAAC
rnacentral:rRNA from 1 species